CUAAGCUACUGGGUUCAUACCCCAUUUAUAAAGGUUUUAAUCCUUUUCUUUUUAAUUUUUAAUAAUUCUUCAAAAAUUUUAUUUAUUACAAUAAUAAUUAUUGGAACAUUAAUUACAGUAACCUCUAAUUCUUGGUUAGGAGCAUGAAUAGGUUUAGAAAUUAAUUUGUUAUCUUUUAUUCCCCUAAUAAGAGAUAAUAAUAAUUUUAAAUCAACAGAAGCUUCUUUAAAAUAUUUUUUAACCCAAGCUUUAGCUUCAACUGUUUUACUGUUUUCAGUGAUUUUAUUAAUGUUAAAUAAUAGAAUAACAAUUGAAAUUAAUAACUCAUUUACUUCAAUAAUUAUUUUAUCAACUUUAUUGUUAAAAAGAGGAGCCGCCCCUUUUCAUUUUUGAUUCCCCAAUUUAAUAGAAGGAUUAACUUGAAUAAAUGCUCUUCUUUUAAUAACAUGGCAAAAAAUUGCUCCUUUAAUAUUAAUUUCUUAUUUAAAUUUAAAAAAUUUAUUACUUAUUAGAGUAAUUCUUUCAGUAAUUAUUGGAGCAAUUGGAGGUUUAAACCAAACUUCUUUACGAAAACUUAUAGCUUUUUCUUCUAUUAAUCAUUUAGGUUGAAUACUAAGAGCGUUAAUAAUUAAUGAAUCAGUUUGAAUAAUUUAUUUUUUAUUUUAUUCUUUUUUAUCAUUUAUUUUAACUUUUAUAUUUAAUAUUUUCAAAUUAUUUCAUUUAAACCAAUUAUUUUCAUGAUUUAUACAAAGAAAAGUUAUAAAAUUUACUUUAUUUAUAAAUUUUUUAUCUUUAGGUGGAUUACCUCCAUUUUUAGGAUUUUUACCAAAAUGAAUUGUAAUUCAACAAUUAACUUUUUGUAACCAAUAUUUUCAAUUAAUAAUUUUAUUAAUAUCAACUUUAAUCACAUUAUUUUUUUAUUUACGAAUUUGUUAUUCAGCAUUUAUGCUAAAUUAUUACGAAAAUAACUGAGUUAUUAGCACCCAAAUCAAUAAUUUUAGUAUAAAACUAUACUUGAUUUGUACAUUUUUGUCAAUUUUUGGAUUAUUUAUAAUUUCAAUAUUUUAUUCUAUAUUUUAGGUUAAAGGCUUUAAGUUAAAUGAAACUCAUAGCCUUCAAAGCUGUAAAUAUAGGAAAUCCUUUAAGCCUUAGUAAUUUAUUACUCCUUCAAAAUUGCAGUUUGAUGUCAUUAUUGACUAUAAGACCGAUUUAUAAUUUUACUAAUCAAUUGAUUAAGAAGAAAAUUUCUUAUAAAUAGAUUUACAAUCUAUCGCCUAACUUCAGCCACUUAAUCGCGACAAUGAUUAUUUUCAACAAAUCAUAAAGAUAUUGGAACAUUAUAUUUUAUUUUCGGUGCUUGAGCAGGAAUAGUUGGAACAUCUUUAAGAAUUUUAAUUCGAGCUGAAUUAGGACAUCCAGGAGCUUUAAUUGGUGAUGACCAAAUUUAUAAUGUAAUUGUUACAGCUCAUGCUUUUAUUAUGAUUUUUUUUAUAGUUAUACCAAUUAUAAUUGGAGGAUUUGGAAAUUGACUUGUACCUUUAAUAUUAGGAGCUCCUGAUAUAGCUUUCCCACGAAUAAAUAAUAUAAGAUUUUGACUUUUACCCCCCGCUUUAUCAUUAUUAUUAGUUAGAAGAAUAGUUGAAAACGGAGCUGGAACAGGGUGAACAGUUUACCCUCCAUUAUCAGCAGGAAUUGCUCAUGGAGGAGCUUCUGUAGAUUUAGCUAUUUUCUCUUUACAUUUAGCAGGAAUUUCUUCAAUUUUAGGAGCUGUAAAUUUUAUUACAACAGUAAUUAAUAUACGAUCUUCAGGAAUUACUUUAGACCGUAUACCUUUAUUUGUUUGAUCCGUUGUAAUUACAGCUCUUUUACUUCUUUUAUCUCUUCCUGUUUUAGCAGGAGCUAUUACAAUAUUAUUAACAGACCGAAAUCUUAAUACUUCAUUCUUUGACCCAGCUGGUGGAGGGGAUCCAAUUUUAUACCAACAUUUAUUUUGAUUUUUUGGUCAUCCAGAAGUUUAUAUUUUAAUUUUACCAGGAUUUGGAAUAAUUUCUCAUAUUAUUAGUCAAGAAUCAGGUAAAAAGGAAACUUUUGGAUCUUUAGGGAUAAUUUAUGCAAUAUUAGCUAUUGGAUUAUUAGGAUUUAUUGUAUGAGCCCACCAUAUAUUCACAGUUGGGAUAGACGUAGAUACACGAGCUUAUUUUACAUCAGCAACUAUAAUUAUUGCUGUGCCUACAGGUAUUAAAAUUUUUAGUUGACUUGCUACACUUCACGGAACACAACUUUCCUAUUCACCAGCCAUUUUAUGAGCUUUAGGAUUUGUAUUUUUAUUCACAGUUGGAGGAUUAACCGGAGUUGUUUUAGCAAAUUCAUCUGUUGACAUUAUUUUACAUGACACAUACUAUGUAGUUGCUCAUUUUCAUUAUGUAUUAUCAAUAGGGGCAGUAUUCGCAAUUAUAGCUGGAUUUGUACAUUGAUACCCUUUAUUUACAGGAUUAACUAUAAAUAAUAAGUGAUUAAAAAGUCAAUUUAUUAUUAUAUUUAUUGGAGUAAAUUUAACAUUUUUCCCUCAACAUUUCUUAGGUUUAGCGGGAAUGCCACGUCGAUAUUCUGAUUAUCCAGAUGCUUAUACUACAUGAAAUGUAAUUUCAACUAUUGGAUCAUCAAUUUCUUUAUUGGGAAUUUUAUUUUUUUUCUAUAUUAUUUGAGAAAGUUUAGUGUCCCAACGUCAAGUUAUUUACCCAAUUCAACUAAAUUCUUCAAUUGAAUGAUACCAAAAUACUCCUCCUGCUGAACAUAGCUAUUCUGAAUUACCUUUAUUAACUAAUUAAUU